rnacentral:snRNA from 1 species
AGCCAUGUGAUAAGUACAUAGCGAACUAUUCUUUCGCCUUUUACUAAAGAAUACGUGUAUUUGUCACUUAAAAUGGCAUACGGUAAUUUUUGAAAAGAGUUCUCUUAAAUGAGAGCU